AUGCCUUACACAUGCAAGUCGAGCGGCAGCGCGGGGGCAACCCUGGCGGCGAGCGGCGCGCGGGUGAGUAAUGCAUCGGAACGUGUCCUCUCGUGGGGGAUAACCAGUCGAAAGAUUGGCUAAUACCGCAUGAGCACGAGAGUGGAAAGCGGGGGACCGCAAGGCCUCGCGCGAGAGGAGCGGCCGAUGCCGGAUUAGCUAGUUGGUGAGGUAAUGGCCCACCAAGGCGACGAUCCGUAGCUGGUUUGAGAGAACGACCAGCCACACUGGGACUGAGACACGGCCCAG
rnacentral:rRNA from 1 species